CACACUCUCGCACCCUAGCUGGGUGUGGAGACCAAAAGGUGCUAGGCCAUCGACACCGCCUGCCACACUUGAGAGGGUUCUUUAUGAAGUUCUUAUUCAGGUAGGUUGAGUUGUGGACUAAUUGGUAGUUUGAAACAGAGGAGAUUUCCCUAUGUAGCGAUCUGUUAUGGAUUUAUGGAAUUUAUUAGGUUACUUGCCCUUUAAUGGACAUAUGGUCAAUCUAUAUUUUAACUUCAUGUCGCUUGCAUUGUUAUUGUUGCUCACUUUAAUUACUUUGUGACUAACUUCAUUUGGUAUUCACAUCUUUUAGAUUCUUCGAGCUCAUGUCUACCUAGCAGUUCAAUUGCUCAAGACAUCCAUCAUCAAGUGAUUUAGUGGGGUGGCAAUGGAUCACGAUACACAUCAAAUAUGUGCAUGGGGUGGUAAUGGAUCACUCAUGUUGCUUUCUUUUCUGAAUCAUUAGAAGCUUUGAAGGAGAUUUCUGAGUUGGCAUGUCCAAAUGUUGCUUUUCUUGAAGAGCUGAAAUGAUUUGAAGAAAUGGGCUUCAAAAUUGAAUUAUUUGAAGAAAUGGGUUUCAAAGUUGAUACUUCAUGUCCUUUGUACAAGACAAUCCGCUUGAAGUUAUUAGAUUAGUCCUGAUCCAUUUUGGUUAAAGUGGUGUUUACAAGUUGUCAUGACAUAAAUUUGAGUUAGCCUUUUUUAUUUGUUUGGUCUCCCCUUCACUACUCUCAUUGAAAAUAGUGCCAGUUUGUUUGU